UGGCGAAGGCGGCUGUCUGGUCUGUAACUGACGCUGAGGCUCGAAAGUAUGGGUAGCAAACAGGAUUAGAUACCUGGUAGUCCAUACCGUAAACGAUGAAUGCUAAGUGUUGGAGGGUUCCGCCCUUCAGUGCUGCAGCUAACGCAUUAAGCAUUCCGCUGGGGAGUACGGCCACAAGGCUGAAACUCAAAGGAAUUGACGGGGGCCCGCACAGCGGUGGAGCAUGUGGUUUAAUUCGAAGCUACGCGAAGAACCUUACCAGGUCUUGACAUACUAUGCAAAUCUAAGAGAUUAGACGUUCCCUUCGGGGACAUGGAUACAGGUGGUGCAUGGUUGUCGUCAGCUCGUGUCGUGAGAUGUUGGGUUAAGUCCCGCAACGAGCGCAACCCUUAUUAUCAGUUGCCAGCAUUAAGUUGGGCACUCUGGUGAGACUGCCGGUGACAAACCGGAGGAAGGUGGGGAUGACGUCAAAUCAUCAUGCCCCUUAUGACCUGGGCUACACACGUGCUACAAUGGAUGGUACAACGAGUUGCGAACUCGCGAGAGUAAGCUAAUCUCUUAAAGCCAUUCUCAGUUCGGAUUGUAGGCUGCAACUCGCCUACAUGAAGUCGGAAUCGCUAGUAAUCGCGGAUCAGCAUGCCGCGGUGAAUACGUUCCCGGGCCUUGUACACACCGCCCGUCACACCAUGAGAGUUUGUAACACCCAAAGUCGGUGGGGUAACCUUUAGGAACCAGCCGCCUAAGGUGGGACAGAUGAUUAGGGUGAAGUCGUAACAAGGUAACCA
rnacentral:rRNA from 1 species